CAGAGUUCAUGCCCCCUACACGGGUAGAUCUCCCACCCUUUGUUAUCAUUACCUUCGUUGCUUUGGCGGGCCGCCAGGCCUCGGUCAGGCUACCGGCUCCAGCUGGUAAGCGCCCGCCAGAGGACCCCAAACUCUGAAUUACAGUGUCGUCUGAGUACUAUAUAAUAGUUA
rnacentral:misc_RNA from 1 species